AAGAAUCGCUCCUCAUCUGCCUGGCAGGUUCAGGAGGAUGCGGCCGCCCCCGGCUGGUGUCUGUCUGCAGCAGAGCUUACCGGCUGCUCUGAAGGCAGAGAGGACUCUGGAGCGAACGUGCAGAGCACGUGUGAUCUGGGAGAAAUGUAUUUCCCACGGGGACAGGGGCAGCUCUGCUGUCUGUAAAGAAAGUGAUCCAUCACGCUGUAAUGAGAGGUAGGACAUCUGAUUGAAUUUUCACCUUUGCUGUGGCAAGAGCUUCCGUGGGUCCUGUACCGGACGCAGCCUGUGCUCUCCCCUCUUCUAGAUGUCGCCACCACAGCAACCAGUUCUGCACGGUGAAACCGUCAGCACCUCCCUGCGCCUCUUGAUUCCUGCCCUGGGGCCUCUGAUGCUGGGCUGUGGGAGGCCCAUGGGUACCUGUUCAGCACUCCCACAGGAGCACC
rnacentral:lncRNA from 1 species